CUCAUUACCAGGCCUUUGGAUUCACAAGUGCAUGUUCAUCUCGGCUUCUGCCAACAGUUCACCAAUAAGGUUUCUGAAGAGCCCUCCAGCUCCCAGACUUUGGGGCUUAGUGAGAUGGGGCAGGACAGCAGCCUGAAGGCCUGGGUUUCCCUUGGAAACAGGAAAAUAGAAGACUCUUCACUUGAUCCAAGAGAGACAUUGGCAGUCCCCAGGACAAGGAAGAUUAAAAGAACCACCACAAAUAAAGUGCUUAGAAGAAAACAUGGCACAUGGAUCUAGGGAAUCAAAGAAGACUAAAGCUGUAAUCCCUAUCAUCGAGAAACUCUCAUCUUCAUGAUACAUAAACAGAUGAUUACUUUCCCCCACAGCUUUCAAAGUUGAGUCUUCAAGUAAGACAAGUGCAAAGAAAGAAAUUUGGAACAGCAGACUGUUUCUGUUGGUACGAUUCUUAGGAGAAAAUAUGUGUCAUACAUUAUAUGCACUGAGAUCUUAUGUGUUUCGAAUCCACUAAUUUGGGGUUAAUGGGAGUGGGAUUUAAUUUUUGUUAAAUUGAAUAGCAGCAUCACUUUCAAUUGUUCUUAAAAAUAGGAUUUAU